rnacentral:rRNA from 1 species
GACGAACGCUGGCGGCGUGCUUAACACAUGCCAGUCGAACGGAAAGGCCCUGCUUUUGUGGGGUGCUCGAGUGGCGAACGGGUGAGUAACACGUGAGUAACCUGCCCUUGACUUUGGGAUAACUUCAGGAAACUGGGGCUAAUACCGGAUAGGAGCUCCUGCUGCAUGGUGGGGGUUGGAAAGUUUCGGCGGUUGGGGAUGGACUCGCGGCUUAUCAGCUUGUUGGUGGGGUAGUGGCUUACCAAGGCUUUGACGGGUAGCCGGCCUGAGAGGGUGACCGGCCACAUUGGGACUGAGAUACGGCCCAGACUCCUACGGGAGGCAGCAGUGGGGAAUAUUGCACAAUGGGCGGAAGCCUGAUGCAGCAACGCCGCGUGCGGGAUGACGGCCUUCGGGUUGUAAACCGCUUUCGCCUGUGACGAAGCGUUAGUGACGGUAAUGGGUAAAGAAGCACCGGCUAACUACGUG